rnacentral:tRNA from 1 species
UUAACUGAAGCCAAAAAAGAGGCUUAUCACUGUUAAUGAUAUCAUUGAAAUAUAUCCCUCCAGUUAAA